GCUCACCUCAGCAGCAUAUACCAAAACUGGAACGAUACUGAAAAGAUUAGUGUGCAAGAAUGACACGCAAAUUCAUGAAGCAUUCCAUAUUUUU
ensembl:snRNA LOC120098053 U6 spliceosomal RNA